rnacentral:rRNA from 1 species
UGGGGGAUAUUGCACAAUGGGCGAAAGCCUGAUGCAGCAACGCCGCGUGAGGGACGACGGCCUUCGGGUUGUAAACCUCUUUAGCAAGGAAGGAGCGAAAGUGACGGUACUUGCAGAAAAAGCGCCGGCUAACUACGUGCCAGCAGCCGCGGUAAUACGUAGGGCGCAAGCGUUAUCCGGAAUUAUUGGGCGUAAAGAGCUCGUAGGCGGUUUGUCGCGUCUGCUGUGAAAACCCGAGGCUCAACCUCGGGCCUGCAGUGGGUACGGGCAGACUAGAGUGCGGUAGGGGAGAUUGGAACUCCUGGUGUAGCGGUGGAAUGCGCAGAUAUCAGGAAGAACACCGAUGGCGAAGGCAGAUCUCUGGGCCGUAACUGACGCUGGGGAGCGAAAGGGUGGGGAGCAAACAGGCUUAGAUACCCUGGUAGUCCACCCCGUAAACGUUGGGAACCUAGUUGUGGGGGUCCAUUCCACGGAUUCCGUGACGCAGCUGAACGCAUUAAGUUCCCCCGCCUGGGGAGUACGGCCGCAAGGCUAAAACCUCAAAUGG